AGGAUCGUUUUCAUUUUAAAAUGCCGUUUUAAAAUGCAAAUGCUCUAAUAUAAACAGGGCCUAAGCUUUUACAAGCUGUUUACACUUGGCAUUAAGAUGUGUUUUCAUCGAUCAGAUAACAAGUAGACGAAGCUAAAGGCAGGUGUAAACAGUGUUCAAAAUGACACAUUCAUUAGUUUCAAAAAGAGACGCAUUUAAAUACCUGAUGUAAACAGAAUGUGUCUCUCUUGUCCACUUGUGAUCCGAUCGACAAAAACACAUCUUAGUGUAAACACCCUCAAAAGUCCUCUGAUCAGCUGCUUCUGUCUAGAACUUAAACUUAGAGGAGUCACCCGGCUUUCUCUGUAGUUGCUCCUAGACUAUGGAAUUUUUACCUUUGCAUGUUUGAGCUGCUCCAACAAUAUCUAGCUUUAAAACUGGGUUACAUACCUUACAAAAAACUGCUAUUAACCCCCAGGGGUCCAAAAACGCGGGGACGCGUUUUGACGUGUUUUCUCCUUAUCAUAGCAGAAUCAACUUAAAAUACUCCAUCAUUAAUAAUCAAACACUUACGUGUUUGACAUCAUUUGAAACUCUGAAGGGUCCUCUUAAAUUAGUGUACAUUCACAAUAACAACAGAUCUUUGUGUUUUUGUCAAAUAAAGAAAAUAAACAGGGUGCUCAUUCAGACAUUUCUGUCUCCGCCAGCUGUCUCUCAAAUCACGUUACAAAAAUUAGUUGAAACUCCGCGAAUACUCGUCACACAAACAUAAUACACAUAUCCAAAGAAAGCCUGAAAUGUCUACUUUUAAACAAGCUAAUUAUUAUCAAAAACAAAUAUUUCCUGUUUAUAUAAUCUGCAUUGAAGUAAAGAGAGUACCGUUUUUCCUGGCUGAGCUCAUUAUCUCUAAUGCGGUCACGCCCACACGCUGUUGACAUGGUAAUGAAGAGACGAGCUGUUCAAACCAGCAAAGCGUAAUGUUUGAUAAGAUUUAAAGACUUUAGCGCAUGUUUGGAUUAUAAACUUUAUACACACACGUGAGGAAUAUCUUCAUUUAUGUCUGGACAUUGAGGAAGAGAAGCGUUUAUCUUUAACGUUACCUAAGAAGAAGAACAAUGGAAGGCGCAAUGGAGGCGGAUAUAUUCCUGAAGAAACUGUCUGCAUCCCUCUCAUCAGUAAACUAUGAAGUGGAAAAACAUAUUCACACUCUUUGGACAUAAAGUUGUAUGGUAACAUGAGCCACAUGAAGUUUACAGCUCUGUUGUUUAUCAGUUUCUUAUACAAGUUAAGUUUUUGAAUAGGGUCCUACUGACCUUCAUUUCUAUUUUGAUUAUAUUGUUAACUUCUUAAUAAACCUCAAACAAACAUG